UGCACAGGCCUUGUGCAUGAUGUCACGCUUACUGCUGUGUUCAUAUGAGCAUCAGCGCCCUGGUGUCAAGAAGACACGAUUUCCUUGGGAUCAUUCAUCACCCCUGGCUCUCACUAUCUUUUUGCCUCCUCUUCUACAUAUACUGUAUGAAACAAAAUCAAUAAAAAACAAGUUAAAAAACAAAACAACUUCCCCACAGUACCUCUCCUUUAAAUUGUCCUUUUGACUUUAGAAAUCUUCUGCUCCUUAAACCAAAAACCAAGUGUUUUCAUCCUCUGACUCCAAUUUGCCUGCAGGUCAAUGGAUAAGGAGUUAAGAAUACACUAUUCUGCCGGGCGGUGGUAGCGCACACCUUAAUCCCAGUGCUCGGGAAGCAGAGCCAGGCUACCAAAUUUGCUCGUCGGUUUAGUCUCUCCUAGUUUGUGUGUUUCUGCAAGCUGCCUUGGAUCCUUUUGUAGCAAAGAGCCGUGUUUUUCACUAGCUCUCACCGGAUGCGCAGUCCCUGUUAGGAGGCUGCGGCACUGCCAACACCUUGCUGGUGAGUCCCAUUGCACUGUGAGGACACUGAGGGUUACAACAUUGGACAGCCCUUUACAUCCAAUGGAAAUUCACCAUUACCAGGUGAGACCCUUCAUAGCAACCCGUUCUUAAGCUUUUGGACUGCUGUGAUUAAAAAAAAAAACAAAAACAACAAUAACAAAGAUUCAAUACUCUGGAUGCAUUCCUAGCAGACCACUAGCUUCCACCAACCCCAAAGCUGAGAAUGUCAACAGAGCCCACCUGAAGCCCCCAGCAACAUUCCCUGCUUUGCGAAACAAUGCCCACCCAUGGUCCUGACCAGUGUAUUUGGUAAAUGCCUUGACUUAUAACUCUUUCCUUCUGUAACUAUAAGAAGUUCAGGAAAUCAUUUCCACAUUAGGGCAUGAUAUUCAGGGCAACCUAAAUCUGUGUCCACAGGCCAGGAUCACUUAAAUUUUGCUCAGAAAAAUAAAUCUCUUAUUUCCUUUGAGGUAAAAGCUUUGUUUUGUAUCAGUAGUUCUGGAUCUCACCACUGUGUCCCCAAGCACAAUCCAUGUUUACUACAGAAGUCACUGGAGUGGGCACCAGGUUUCAACGGACCUUUGUGAGCAGCUCAGUGACUUCUUCCCGGGGCCCGGGUUGCUCUUUCAUUUGGGAAGGGUCCGUGUGUUUACUCUGAGCUGGUUGUGGGAUAUUCUUUUGUUUGUCAGUGCAGUGGAUCAGAGCACAUUCAUGUUUUUGUUUUCAAAACAUUUGCUUGCUAGCAUCCAGUCUUUCCAUCAUUCCUCCAAUAUCUAACCCUGCGUCUUUUUUUUGCGGUAUUUUCCACUUCCUGUGAACUUCUCGCUCUUCGUUUGGGGAUUCCAUGAGUGUUUGGUCAUAAAGACACUGAAGGGCUUCACAUCCAUAGAGAGAAGCAAAGACUUGGAGGAAUGAUUGAAUUGCCGGAUCAUGAGUUUAUCACAGCCACAGAGAAAUCUCUUCCAAGUUGUCAUAGUGCGGCAUGCGUUUUUUACUUAAGAUAUAUUUAUUCACUUUAUGUAUAUGGGAAUAGAGCCCAGGUUGGCGACAUGCUGAAGCACAGAGACCAACUGAUGGCUCCCCAUCGGCGACCCCAAGUUCAGCAGUCUUGCUGCUAUGAACAAACUGUGUUCAUCUGUGCAACCUGCUUCCUGCUUGUCCUCUGUCAGCUGAACACAUUUUCCUGAAGGAUCAUUCAGCUGAGGCAUCUUCUGCACUCUGUACGGACUCAGACCUUUUGCCCAAUGUAGCUCGUGCAGUGAAACUUCAGGACAGCUUUGCGGGAUGUUUGUGUAUGGAGAAGCUGUAAGAAAUGUUAAUUCCAAUAAAGACCAUCGCUCUCUUCA